rnacentral:rRNA from 1 species
UACGGGGGGGGCAAGCGUUGUUCGGAAUUACUGGGCGUAAAGGGCUCGUAGGCGGCCAACUAAGUCAGACGUGAAAUCCCUCGGCUUAACCGGGGAACUGCGUCUGAUACUGGUUGGCUUGAGUGUGGGAGAGGGAUGCGGAAUUCCAGGUGUAGCGGUGAAAUGCGUAGAUAUCUGGAGGAACACCGGUGGCGAAGGCGGCAUCCUGGACCAUUACUGACGCUGAGGAGCGAAAGCCAGGGAAGCAAACGGG